CUCUGCUUUAUCCUACCCACCCCCGAUGACCCCAUCUGCCCUCAGCCCUUUCAGUUUAAGACGCAAGCAUUCACCAGGGUGCCUGGGUGGCUUAGUCAGUUAAGCAUCUGACUCUUGGUUUCAGCUCAGGUCAUGAUCUCAGGGUCUUGAGAUUGGGCUCCACACUGGGCAUGGAGCCUGCUUAAGAUUCUCUCUCCCUCUCGUCUCUGUCUGCUUACCUGCCUCCCACCACUUGUGCGCUCUCUCUAAAAAGAAGAAGAAGAAGAAGAAGAAGAAGAAGNNNNNNNNNNNNNNNNNNNNNNNNNAGAAGAAGAAGAAGAAGAAGAAGAAGAAGAAGAAGAAGAAGAAGAAGAAGAAGAAGAAGGAGGAGGAGAAGAAGAAGACACAAGCAUUCGCCAAAUGGAUACAGAAUCCCCACAAGCACCUGCUUCCAACGGCCUUGGAGAAGAGUUUGGCACAUCCCAGAAAGCUUCCCACAGAGCCAGCGCUUAAGGUAGACGGGAGUCACACACAGGGCUCAAGCUGAAAUUCAGAACAUCCUAAGGGGAACUUUGCAGGAGGCCGCUCCCCCUGCCCCAACACCAUAGCCCUCCGGUGCAGAAGUAACUUCAGUGUGCAUGGGCCAAACCGCCACAGGUGGUACUUCUGCUUCUAUUCAAAUGCAGUUUUUCUUUGAAGGAGAACAAAGUAGAUCUGAAUAAAAGCCCUA
rnacentral:lncRNA from 1 species